rnacentral:rRNA from 1 species
UCNUCUGGCUUAACUGGGGGCUUGCGGUGGNUACGGGCCGGCUUGAGUGCGGUAGGGGAGGCUGGAACUCCUGGUGUAGCGGUGGAAUGCGCAGAUAUCAGGAAGAACACCGGUGGCGAAGGCGGGUCUCUGGGCCGUUACUGACGCUGAGGAGCGAAAGCGUGGGGAGCGAACAGGAUUAGAUACCCUGGUAGUNCACGCCGUAAACGUUGGGCACUAGGUGUGGGGGGCCUUUUCCGGGUUUUCCGCGCCGUAGCUAACGCAUUAAGUGCCCCGCCUGGGGAGUACGGCCGCAAGGCUAAAACUCAAAGGAAUUGACGGGGGCCCGCACAAGCGGCGGAGCAUGCGGAUUAAUUCGAUGCAACGCGAAGAACCUUACCAAGGCUUGACAUGUGCCGGUCGGCUCCGGAGACGGGGUUUCCUCCUUGUGGGGCCGGUUCACAGGUGGUGCAUGGUUGUCGUCAGCUCGUGUCGUGAGAUGUUGGGUUAAGUCCCGCAACGAGCGCAACCCUUGUCUCGUGUUGCCAGCACGUUGUGGUGGGGACUCGCGGGAGACUGCCGGGGUCAACUCGGAGGAAGGUGGGGAUGACGUCAAAUCAUCAUGCCCCUUAUGUCUUGGGCUUCACGCAUGCUACAAUGGCUGGUACAGAGGGCUGCGAUACUGUGAGGUGGAGCGAAUCCCUUAAAGCCGGUCUCAGUUCGGAUCGGUGUCUGCAACUCGACACCGUGAAGUUGGAGUCGCUAGUAAUCGCAGAUCAGCAACGCUGCGGUGAAUACGUUCUCGGGCCUUGUACACACCGCCCGUCACGUCAUGAAAGUCGGCAACACCCGAAGCCCGUGGCCUUAUGGG